rnacentral:rRNA from 1 species
GACGAACGCUGGCGGCGCGCUUAACACAUGCAAGUCGAGCGAAGCGGCGGACGGGUGAGUAACACGUGAGUAACCUGCCUUUGACAUUGGGAUAGCCUCGGGAAACCGGGAUUAAUACCAAAUGGUCUAAGAUGGACUCGCGUCCCAUUAGCUAGUUGGUGAGGUAACGGCCCACAAAGGCGACGAUGGGUAGCCGGCCUUGGCGCGUGAACGGCCACAUUGGAGCUGGGAAACGGUCCAAACUCUACGGGAGGCAGCAGGGGGGAAUAUUGCACAAUGGAUGGAACUCUGAUGCAGCGACGCCGCGUGAACGAAGAAGGCUUUCGAGUCGUAAAGUGCUUUUAUAUGGGAAGCGGUACCAUAAGAAAAGCCCCGGCUAACUACGUGCCAGCCGCCGCGGUAAUUC